rnacentral:rRNA from 1 species
CAUGCAGUCGAGCGGAACGAGUUAUCUGAACCUUCGGGGAACGAUAACGGCGUCGAGCGGCGGACGGGUGAGUAAUGCCUAGGAAAUUGCCCUGAUGUGGGGGAUAACCAUUGGAAACGAUGGCUAAUACCGCAUAAUACCUWCGGGUCAAAGAGGGGGACCUUCGGGCCUCUCGCGUCAGGAUAUGCCUAGGUGGGAUUAGCUAGUUGGUGAGGUAAUGGCUCACCAAGGCGACGAUCCCUAGCUGGUCUGAGAGGAUGAUCAGCCACACUGGAACUGAGACACGGUCCAGACUCCUACGGGAGGCAGCAGUGGGGAAUAUUGCACAAUGGGCGCAAGCCUGAUGCAGCCAUGCCGCGUGUGUGAAGAAGGCCUUCGGGUUGUAAAGCACUUUCAGUCGUGAGGAAGGUAGUGUAGUUAAUAGCUGCAUUAUUUGACGUUAGCGACAGAAGAAGCACCGGCUAACUCCGUGCCAGCAGCCGCGGUAAUACGGAGGGUGCGAGCGUUAAUCGGAAUUACUGGGCGUAAAGCGCAUGCAGGUGGUUUGUUAAGUCAGAUGUGAAAGCCCGGGGCUCAACCUCGGAAUAGCAUUUGAAACUGGCAGACUAGAGUACUGUAGAGGGGGGUAGAAUUUCAGGUGUAGCGGUGAAAUGCGUAGAGAUCUGAAGGAAUACCGGUGGCGAAGGCGGCCCCCUGGACAGAUACUGACACUCAGAUGCGAAAGCGUGGGAGCAAACAGGAUUAGAUACCCUGGUAGUCCACGCCGUAAACGAUGUCUACUUGGAGGUUGUGGCCUUGAGCCGUGGCUUUCGGAGCUAACGCGUUAAGUAGACCGCCUGGGGAGUACGGUCGCAAGAUUAAAACUCAAAUGAAUUGACGGGGGCCCGCACAAGCGGUGGAGCAUGUGGUUUAAUUCGAUGCAACGCGAAGAACCUUACCUACUCUUGACAUCCAGAGAACUUUCCAGAGAUGGAUUGGUGCCUUCGGGAACUCUGAGACAGGUGCUGCAUGGCUGUCGUCAGCUCGUGUUGUGAAAUGUUGGGUUAAGUCCCGCAACGAGCGCAACCCUUAUCCUUGUUUGCCAGCACUUCGGGUGGGAACUCCAGGGAGACUGCCGGUGAUAAACCGGAGGAAGGUGG